GAUGAAAGAACGCAGCGAAAUGCGAUACUUGGUGUGAAUUGCAGAAUCCCGUGAACCAUCGAGUCUUUGAACGCAAGUUGCGCCCGAAGCCACUAGGCCGAGGGCACGCCUGCCUGGGCGUCACACGCCGUUGCCCCCCCAUCUACUCCUUCGGGAUUGCGGGGGGGCGGAUGAUGGCCUCCCGUGCGCCUAGCCGCGCGGUUGGCAUAAAUACCAAGUCCUCGGCGACGCACGCCACGACAAUCGGUGGUUGCGAAACCUCGGUUGCCCGUCGUGUGCGUUCGUCGCGCAUCGAGGGCUCGAAAAAAUGCUCGGCUCCGGCUGGGCUUUCAACGCGACCCCAGGUCAGGCGGGGUUACCCGCUGAAUUUAAGCAUAUCAAUAAGCGGAGGA
rnacentral:misc_RNA from 1 species